ACGGAAGGCAGCAGUGGGGAAUAUUGGGCAAUGGGCGCAAGCCUGACCCAGCAACGCCGCGUGAAGGAAGAAGGUUUUCGGAUCGUAAACUUCUAUCCUUGGUGAAAAUAGUGAUGGUAGCCAAGAAGGAAGCCCCGGCUAACUACGUGCCAGCAGCCGCGGUAAUACGUAGGGGGCAAGCGUUGUCCGGAAUGAUUGGGCGUAAAGGGCGCGUAGGCGGCCUGUUAAGUCAGAAGUGAAACUCCUGCUUUUAAGGUGGGAACUGCUUUUGAUACUGAUGGGCUUGAGUGCAGGAGAGGUAAGCGGAAUUCCCGGUGUAGCGGUGAAAUGCGUAGAGAUCGGGAGGAACACCAGUGGCGAAGGCGGCUUACUGGACUGUUACUGACGCUGAGGCGCGAAAGUGUGGGGAGCAAACAGGAUUAGAUACCCUGGUA
rnacentral:rRNA from 1 species